rnacentral:rRNA from 1 species
UACAGAGGGGGCAAGCGUUGUUCGGAAUUACUGGGCGUAAAGGGCGCGUAGGCGGCCUUCUAAGUCGAACGUGAAAUCCCCGGGCUCAACCCGGGAACUGCGUCCGAGACUGAAAGGCUUGAAUCCGGGAGAGGGAUGUGGAAUUCCAGGUGUAGCGGUGAAAUGCGUAGAGAUCGGGAAGAACAUCAGUGGCGAAGGCGGCCUGCUGGGCUGUUGCUGACGCUGAGGCGCGACAGCGUGGGGAGCAAACAGG